CAUUUUUUUUUUUUUUGAGAUGGAGUCUCACUCUGUUGCCCAGACUGGAGUGCAGUGGCAUGAUCUUGGCUCACCGCAACCUCCAUCUAUCUUCUUCUUGACCUUUUAUCAUUAUAAAAUGUCCUUCUUUACCUCUAGCAAAAAUUUUUGUCUUAAAGUCUGUUCUGCCUGCCAUUAUAACCACUGCAGCUCUUUGUUGGUUACCUGACAACCUGCCUUCACCAAAGUGCCUACACUGAUGGGUUUGGAAGGGACACCUAAAGCUCUGUUAAGAAAGAUUCUGAGGCUGUAUCCUGGCUCAGUAUGAAAGUGUCAGGACUGAGAAGAGAUGCCUCAGCGUCUGACACAGCAUCCCUAAUGCCACAUACUCAUCACCCCUAUUCUAGGGGCUGCCCUGAUUGUAAACAGCACAGAACUGUUUUUAUCCUUAUUACCCCUAAUUUAAUAAUGACUCAGAGCCAUCCAAUAGACACCGAGGCUGAUUCUGAAGGUGGGAAAGCCCAUCAUUGUAAGGCAUUACACAGGUGUUAGAUGAGCACUUAUCAGAGCUGACAGAUGGAUUCUGUGGCACACACAUCUGGUGCCCCACCCAUACCCCCUCUCAGCAUUUGGUCUCAUGCCUGCCUGCCUGCAACCUGCCAGCAUCUGCCAUUCUGCCCCAGGGGCUGCCGAGGUCCAUGUGUCGGACCUCGGCCAACAACCCCCGGAGCUCCCUCACCCCUCAGGUGGGAUGACACUGAGCACAUGCUCCAUGCUGGCUCCCAGAAUUCUCAGUGGACCAUGCAUAGCCGCCCGCAGUGCUGCCUGUCCUGCAGUGCUGCCUGUCACAGGCACUCUUCCUGGUGGCCCCUCUUUCUGUUCUUACUUAUGUACUUUCUUGCUGAUAUUUCCUGGCAUCUCCUCCCAAAUAAACUAUUUGCACUGUCCCAGGAUCUGCUUCAGAAAACCCAAACUCAGAUUCCAAGUAGCAGGCAUGACUUAGAAGAUCUCCAAAGCUGAAUGCAUGAUUCCAUGAAGCUCACAGUGAUUACUUCAGCACAGCAACAUGUAGUUCUUCGGUGCCCACUUUCUCCAAACAAUGGCUAACACGUUUUUUAGUACUCACUCGAACCACAGCCCCAGAAGCUUUACACCUGUUUAAUCCUUUAAUAUUCACAAAACCUCUAUGAUGCUAGUCACUAAUUAGUACCCUCAUUUUGCUGAUGAGGAAACUGAGGGCACAGAGAGGUUAAGUAACUUUUCCAAGCUCCACACAGUAAGUGGCAGGUAUUGGAUUAAAACCCAGGCAAUCUGGCUCCAGAGUCUGUAGUUUUCUUUGUUAAACUUUAAACAUUAAGAAUCACUGCAAACAUAUAUUUAAAAAGUAGAAUAGAAUGAUGAACCUUCCAUAGACCCAUCCUUUAGCUUUAUGUCUCUUGUUUCAUCUCUGUCCCUGCCCACGGGAUGAUUUGGAAGCGAAUGGAGUCUGUACUUGUAACCACCAAGCUGUAAGAGAAGAGCCCAGGGGAUUAACGGAGAAGGAUGUAACAACUUCAACUUGUGUAACUCUUGUUCCUCUGCCAAGAACACUCCCAGUAAGUUAUCUCAGUGUUGGGCAGGCAGUAACUUCUCAGGAAAUACUUGAUUAUCCCAAGGACUCCUCAGAGCCAAUGCAAGGAGAAUGGGGCAGGCAGGUAACAUCACUUCUGAUAUUACUGGAGAGAAAACUGAGACCUAGGGAAAGCCUUGCCCCAACUCUCUCAGCUGGUGAGGUCUGAGUGAGGCCAGAACUCAGGGCCCACGCUUCCCACAGUCCUCUCUCUACAUGCUGCCCUGAGUGUGUGCACACGUGUGUGUGUGUGUGUGUGUACACACACACACACACACACACACACUGUGGUGUGUCUGGGGCCUCUGGCUCUCUUGAUUCCUGUCUUAAAGUGGAGCCUCUCCCUCCUGUCUGGUCUGAAGGGUUCUUAGGACUCUGAUGAUGGUUCUACCGGGUGGACUGUGGCAUAAGGAGGAGUUGUUGUGGCUUGAAUCAUGUCCCCCAAAAAGACAUAUUGAAGUCCUAACCCCUGGUUGUUGUGAAUGUGGCUUUAUUUGGAAACAGGGUCUUUGCAGAUGUAGUUAUGUUAAGACGGGGUCAUACUGGAUUAGGGUGGGCACUCAUCCAAUGGCUGGUAUAUUUUUAAGAAGAGAGAAAUCUGGACCCAGACACACAGAGAGGAUACUGUGUGAUGAUGGAGGCAGAGACUGGAGUAGUGAGUCUAUGAGCCAAGGAAUGCCAAGGCUUGCCAGCAAUACCAGAAGCUGGGAACAGGCAUGGAAUCCUCCCGAGGACUUCAGAGACAGCAUGGCACUGAUUUUGGACUUGGAGGCUCCAGAACUGUGAGAGAAUGAACUUCUGUUUUAAGCCAUCCAGUUUUUGGUUCUCUGUUACAGCAGCCCUAGGAAACUAAGAUAGGAGCAGUAAGAUUCUCACACACUGGCACUGUGACAGUGACAUGGCAGGAAUACAGCCUGCUGGCAGCCUCUGCUGAGCCUGGUCUGGAGCACUGCACUCCACGGCCUACUGCACUGGCUAGGGCUCGCCCCUCUGUAGUCUAGUCUGUUUGUAGCAGUUCGAGCAGUCUUUAAAAGCAGCAGUACAUUGCAUCUUGUCACUCUUCCACUCUCCUGCUUAAAUUUAAACCCUUCAAUGGCUUCCCCUGGCUCUUGGAAGAAAGGUCAUAUGGCAAGGUGUGCACAGUCAGUCUCUGUUCCCUCUUCAGCCUCGUCUUGCCCCCUCCCUCAACGAUGCUCCCUCCCUUACUAUCUUAUUUCUGGUGUUCAAAGGCCCCAGGAUGUCUCCUUCAGCCUCAGGUUCUCUGCCCGUGCUCGUCCUUCUACCUGGAUUGGUUGACAUCCCAAAGCCUCCAUACAAUUCCUCCCAGUUAACUCCUGCUCAUCCUUCAGAUCCCAGUGCCAAUUCAACUCCUUACAAAGCCUUUCCUGAUGUACCCAAACCACAGCAGGUUCCUAGGUCAGCCCCUUGCAAAGGCCUGGAACUCAUCCUUCAAGGCACUCAGCUCAGAUUACCCUGCAUAUUUAUGGAAUUCCUCACUGUCUCUUUCACUCAACCCUAAGCUUAUGAGGGCAAGUUCUGUGAAUGCUCCUCUCACCAGGGUGUCCUCGUGCCUAGCACCCAAGCCAGAGGCGUCUGCGAACCUUCAUCUCAUCUGAUUUUCACAACCCUGUGAGGGAAGCAGGUCCCAGUUCAACACCUUCACUUCAAGACAAGGUCCAGAAAACAUUUCUUGUCCAAGGCUACACAGCUAACAAGUUAUGUGCUGAAGAUAGGACUCAGAUAUAGUUUGCUUCGUUCAGGAAUCUUCACUACUCUGUGUAAUCAGAUCAAUUCCCAAGUGGAAUAUUUCAGAGUUUCAAUCUCUGAUGCCACUGAGCCUUGCAGAAACAGCACUGAGGAG
rnacentral:lncRNA from 1 species